rnacentral:rRNA from 1 species
AGCGAACGCUGGCGGCAGGCCUAACACAUGCAAGUCGAACGAACCUUUCGGGGUUAGUGGCGGACGGGUGAGUAACACGUGGGAACGUGCCUUUAGGUUCGGAAUAACUCAGGGAAACUUGUGCUAAUACCGAAUGUGCCCUUCGGGGGAAAGAUUAAUCGCCUUUAGAGCGGCCCGCGUCUGAUUAGCUAGUUGGUUGAGGUAAUGGCUCACCAAGGCGACGAUCAGUAGCUGGUCUGAGAGGAUGAUCAGGCACAUUGGGACUGAGACACGGCCCAAACUCCUACGGGAGGCGGCAGUGGGGAAUCUUGCGAAAUGGGCGAAAGCCUGACGCAGCCAUGCCGCGUGAAUGAUGAAGGUCUUAGGAUUGUAAAAUUCUUUCACCGGGGACGAUAAUGACGGUACCCGGAGAAGAAGCCCCGGCUAACUUCGUG